rnacentral:rRNA from 1 species
CACGUAGGGGGCGAGCGUUGUCCGGAUUUAUUGGGCGUAAAGCGCGCGUAGGCGGUUCGUUAAGUCGGGUGUGAAAACCCGGGGCUCAACCCCGGGCCUGCAUCCGAUACUGGCGGACUCGAGGCAGACAGGGGAGAGUGGAAUUCACGGUGUAGCAGUGAAAUGCGUAGAUAUCGUGAGGAAGACCAGUGGCGAAGGCGGAUCUCUGGACAGCUCCUGACGCUGAGGCGCGAAGGCUAGGGGAGCAAACGGG